GUGAGGAAUUUUCCGCAAUGGGCGAAAGCCUGACGGAGCAAUGCCGCGUGAAGGAUGAAGGCCUAUGGGUUGUAAACUUCUUUUCUCAGAAAAGAAUUAUGACGGUAUCUGAGGAAUAAGCAUCGGCUAACUCUGUGCCAGCAGCCGCGGUAAGACAGAGGAUGCAAGCGUUAUCCGGAAUGAUUGGGCGUAAAGCGUCUGUAGGUUGUUUAAAAAGUAUUCUGUCAAAGAUUAGGGCUUAACCCUAGAUAGGCAGAAUAAACUUUUAAGCUAGAGUUUGGUAGAGGCAGAGGGAAUUCCCGGUGGAGCGGUGAAAUGCGUAGAUAUCGGGAGGAACACCAAAGGCGAAGGCACUCUGCUGGGCCAAUACUAACACUGAGAGACGAAAGCGAGGGGAGCAAAUGGGAUUAGAUAACCGGGUAGUCC
rnacentral:rRNA from 1 species